GUAACAAGGUUUCCGUAGGUGAACCUGCGGAAGGAUCAUUAAUGAGAACACCGGUGUAAAAGCCGGGCUCUUAAACCCUUGUGUAAACAAAACCCAGUUGCCCCGGGGGCGACCCCGCCGCUCCUUUACCGGCAGCAGGCGAGGGGCCCCCGGCGGUCCACUAAACACUGCAUCAAUGCGUCUGAGUAAGAUUAUUAAAUCAAUCAAAACUUUCAACAACGGAUCUCUUGGUUCUGGCAUCGAUGAAGAACGCAGCAAAAUGCGAUAAGUAAUGUGAAUUGCAGAAUUCAGUGAAUCAUCGAAUCUUUGAACGCACAUUGCGCCCCCUGGCAUUCCGGGGGGCACGCCUGUUCGAGCGUCAUUACACCACUCAAGCCUCGCUUGGUAUUGGGAGACGCGGUUAGCCGCGCUCCUCGAUUCUCUUCGGCUGGGCCCAACGAACCCCUAGCGUAGUAACAUAACAGUUUCGCUGCGGGAGAGGGGGGCAUCCGGCCGUUAAAGACCACCAUCAAAGGUUGACCUCGGAUCAGGCGGGGAUACCCGCUGAACCUAAGCA
rnacentral:misc_RNA from 1 species